GAUGAACGCUGGCGGCGUGCCUAAUACAUGCAAGUCGAGCGAACAGACGAGGAGCUUGCUCCUCUGACGUUAGCGGCUGACGGGUGAGUAACACGUGGAUAACCUACCUAUAAGACGGGGAUAACUUCGGGAAACCGGAGCUACUACCGGCUAAUAUAUUGAACCGCAUGGUUCAGUGGUUAUAGACGGUUUUGCUGUCUCUAAUAGAUGGAUCCGCGCCGCAUUAGCUAGUUGGUAAGGUAACGGCUUACCAAGGCGACGAUGCGUAGCCGACCUGAGAGGAUGAUCGGCCACACUGGAACUGAGACACGGUCCAGACUCCUACGGGAGGCAGCAGUAGGGAAUCUUCCGCAAUGGGCGAAAGCCUGACGGAGCAACGCCGCGUGAGUGAUGAAGGUCUUCGGAUCGUAAAACUCUGUUAUUAGGGAAGAACAAAUGUGUAAGUAACUAUGCACGUCUUGACGGUACCUAAUCAGAAAGCCACGGCUAACUACGUG
rnacentral:rRNA from 1 species